rnacentral:rRNA from 1 species
CGCUCGUAGUCGGAUGUUGGUAGUUCCGGGGGUGUGUGCGUCGUGCGUGCACUUCGCAGGGGCUGCUUUCGUGGGUAUGCUUGGGAUGACGCGACUUUAUUGUUGAACGUCCUUANGCNACCACUUUUUACUGUGAAAAAAUUAGAGUGUUCAAAGCAGGCAUUUGUCGUGAAUACAUUAGCAUGGAAUAAUAGAAUAGGACUUGGUUCUAUUUUGUUGGUUUGUUGGNANCGAGUAAUGAUUAAAAGGGACAGUUGGGGGCAUUUGUAUUCCGGGGCCAGAGGUGAAAUUCUUAAACUCCCGGAAGACAAACAGCUGCGAAAGCGUCUGCCAAGGAUGUUUUCAUUGAUCAAGAACGAAAGUAAGGGGAUCGAAGACGAUCAGAUACCGUCGUAGUCUUUACUAUAAACUAUGAGGACUGGGGAUCAGGCGAGGAAUUACGAUGACCCGCUNGGCACCCUUCGGGAAACCAAAGUGUUUGCUUUCUGGGGGGAGUAUGGUCGCAAGGCUGAAACUUAAAGGAAUUGACGGAAGGGCAUCACCGGGUGUGGAGCCUGCGGCUUAAUUUGACUCAACACGGGAAAACUUACCAGGUCAGGACAUAGUGAGGAUUGACAGAUUGAGAGCUCUUUCUUGAUUCUAUGGUUGGUGGUGCAUGGCCGUUCUUAGUUGGUGGAGUGAUUUGUCUGGUUAAUUCCGUUAACGAGCGAGACCUGGGCGUNCUAAAUAGGGGAUAUUACUGUUUUUGGUAGUAUGUUACCUCUUCUUAGACGGACUGCGGGCGUCCAGCCCGCGGAAGCUCCAGGCAAUAACAGGUCUGAGAUGCCCUUAGAUGUUCUGGGCCGCACGCGUGCUACACUGAGUGGAUCAGCGGGUCNGGUUGCACGAAAGUGUUUCCUAAUCUUGAAAUCCGCUCGUGAUGGGGAUUGAGGGUUGCAAUUUUCCCUCAUGAACGAGGAAUACCUUGUAAGCGUGGGUCAUCAUCCCGCGCCGAAUACGUCCCUGCCCUUUGUACACACCGCCCGUCGCUCCUACCGAUUGAGUGGUCCGGUGAGGCUUUGGGAUUGCUGC